rnacentral:rRNA from 1 species
UACGUAGGGUGCAAGCGUUGUCCGGAAUUAUUGGGCGAAAGAGCUCGUAGGCGGUUUGUCGCGUCUGCCGUGAAAGUCCGGGGCUCAACUCCGGAUCUGCGGUGGGUACGGGCAGACUAGAGUGAUGUAGGGGAGACUGGAAUCCUGGUGUAGCGGUGAAAUGCGCAGAUAUCAGGAGGAACACCGAUGGCGAAGGCAGGUCUCUGGGCAUUAACUGACGCUGAGGAGCGAAAGCAUGGGGAGCGAACAGG